GGGGGGUGUGGAGGGGGUGUGACUUUUAUUUUGAAGUGGGGUCUCCCUCUGCCCUGAUUGGUAGAGAGACCGCCCGCCCCCCUGCCAGAAUAAAAGUCCCCUGUUGAUGUGGGCGUCUCCCUCUGCCCUGAUUGGUAGAGAGACCGCCCGCCUCCCUGCCAGAAUUAAAGUCCCCUGUUGAUGUGGGCGUCUCCCUCUGCCCUGAUUGGUAGAGAGACCGCCCGCCCCCCUGCCAGAAUAAAAGUCCCCUGUUGAUGUGGGGGGUCUCCCUCUGCCCUGAUUGGUAGAGAGACCGCCCGCCCCCCUGCCAGAAUAAAAGUCCCCUGUUGAUGUGGGCGUCUCCCUCUGCCCUGAUUGGUAGAGAGACCGCCCGCCCCCCUGCCAGAAUAAAAGUCCCCUGUUGAUGUGGGCGUCUCCCUCUGCCCUGAUUGGUAGAGAGACCGCCCGCCUCCCUGCCAGAAUAAAAGUCCCCUGUUGAUGUGGGGGUCUCCCUCUGCCCUGAUUGGUAGAGAGACCGCCCGCCCCCCUGCCAGAAUAAAAGUCCCCUGUUGAUGUGGGGGUCUCCCCCCCCCCCCUGUCUCUUAUCGUGGGGCCCCCUCCCUGCCCUGGAAUGGGACCUCCCUACCAGAAUAGAAGUCCCCAUCGAGUGUGGGGGUGUGUGGGUGGGUCCCAUCGGGUUUCCCUACGCAGAGACGGUGAUGAUCAUGAUGAUGAUGAUUUAUAUUUGUUGUUAAUGGUGCUUCGAUUA